rnacentral:rRNA from 1 species
AUACAACUUUCAGCAACGGAUCUCUUGGCUCUCGCAUCGAUGAAGAACGCAGCGAAAUGCGAUAAGUAAUGUGAAUUGCAGAAUUCAGUGAAUCAUCGAAUCUUUGAACGCACCUUGCGCCCUUUGGCUAUUCUGAAGGGCAUGCCUGUUUGAGUAUC